rnacentral:rRNA from 1 species
UCGAGAAUAAUUCGCAAUGGGCGCAAGCCUGACGAUGCGACGCCGUGUGAAUGAUGAAGGCCUUCGGGUUGUAAAGUUCUGUCGACUCUGAGCAAGGGAUAUAUCUGAAUACGAUGUAUCAUUGAGAGUAAGAGAGAAGGAAGCACCGGCUAACUCCGUGCCAGCAGCUGCGGUAAUACGGAGGGUGCAAGCGUUAGUCGGAAUUACUGGGCGUAAAGGGCGCGUAGGCGGGAAUAUACGUCAGAUGUGAAAUUACGGAGCUUAACUCCGGAGCUGCAUCUGAAACUGUAUUUCUAGAGGGAUGAUGGAGGAAACGGAAUUCCACGUGUAGCGGUGAAAUGCGUAGAUAUGUGGAAGAACACCUGUGGCGAAAGCGGUUUUCUAAUCAUUACCUGACGCUGAGGCGCGAAAGCAAGGGGAGCAAACAGG